rnacentral:rRNA from 1 species
UACGUAGGGUGCGAGCGUUGUCCGGAAUUAUUGGGCGUAAAGAGCUUGUAGGCGGUUUGUCGCGUCUGCUGUGAAAUCUCAAGGCUCAACCUUGAGCUUGCAGUGGGUACGGGCAGACUAGAGUGUGGUAGGGGAGACUGGAAUUCCUGGUGUAGCGGUGAAAUGCGCAGAUAUCAGGAGGAACACCGAUGGCGAAGGCAGGUCUCUGGGCCACUACUGACGCUGAGAAGCGAAAGCAUGGGGGAGCGAACAGGA